AACAUGGGUCUAAGUUGGAUUACUAUAACUAUUUGAGUCUAUUUACUUCGUAUUUCUGCUUUCCUAAUCGUAAUGGAUUAUUGUACACUCAUUCAACUUGAGCGCAUAGAAAUUCACAAAUACUCAAAUAUCUCACUUUCACCCAAAGUAUAAUUUCCCUUUAAAAGAAUCUCCGCGUCAGACGGUUUUUUCUGACGUCAUGACGCACGAGCCCGAUUUCAACUUCUGUUUCUCAACUGACAGUCGCCAUUUUUUUCUCUCCGGACUCGGAUGAAAAAGAUGACAGGAGGUAACGUUAGUGAACCAGGAGCUCAGUGUCAGGAAUUUCAGGGCGAGGUGGCCUGCGCUUUUCAGACAUUACGAGAUCAAUGCAGAGUUACAUAGGCUUAUGGAUGUUCCACUGGAAGACAUGUUCUUUGUACAGUUGGGUGUAUACAUGAGUCAACUAAUCAGAGUAAUCCGUUCCAAAGGAGGAGAAACCCCUGCAAUUUUUCACAUAUUGGUUCAGACUGAAAACAUUAAUGUGAAAAGAGAGUGUGUCCUGAAGGCCCUCAUCGUUUUCCUGGGGGGAAAUCCUUAAGGAGUAUCUUGAGAACCAGCUGAUGAUUGCGAAGGUGAGCUGGAGCAGCUCACCAUGGCGGUGUAUGUUAUUCGGAAGGAGGAGGGAGAACAUCACGAACCACAGGCUGACAUAGGUGUCGUCAUCAAGGGUGUUAAAGUUCUUAAUGAACUGUCUUCGUCCACAUCAGCUUGUGCCUUGCUUCUCGGAAUGAUAUACAUCAUCAAUCUGGCUUAUCAAAAAACACUUUUUACAUUCGAGGUAUUCCAGAAAGUUCUCUUGCAGCUCGAUCAGCACAAGAUGACACCAAAAUUUCAAAGUCUUUUCGGAAGACUACAGUUAACUUGCAGUAAUGUUUGAAUGUGCAUGUGUUUGAAACAAUGUCUCUAUUUUAGUUGAAUGGCAUGUAUUCUUAUUGUAAGACUAUCUAUUUGUUCAUUCAUAUGUCUAGUGUGUAGUUGUUCAAAUCUGUAGUUGAUUUGUUCCUUUUACAUUGGUGAAAGGCUAAUUACCUAUAACUCUAAGCUGUCAAAACAUUUUCCAUGAGCUGUUUAAGGUUUUAUAUAUGUGU